rnacentral:rRNA from 1 species
GAGCCUACGGGGGGCAGCAGUGGGGAAUAUUGCACAAUGGGGGAAACCCUGAUGCAGCAACGCCGCGUGAGUGAAGAAGUAUUUCGGUAUGUAAAGCUCUAUCAGCAGGGAAGAAGAUGACGGUACCUGAAUAAGAAGCCCCGGCUAACUACGUGCCAGCAGCCGCGGUAAUACGUAGGGGGCAAGCGUUAUCCGGAUCUACUGGGUGUAAAGGGGGCGCAGACGGCGAUGCAAGCCAGGAGUGAAAGCCCGGG